rnacentral:rRNA from 1 species
UACGGGGGGGGCAAGCGUUGUUCGGAAUUACUGGGCGUAAAGGGCUCGUAGGCGGCCAACUAAGUCGGAUGUGAAAUCCCCAGGCUCAACUUGGGAACUGCAUCCGAUACUGGAUGGCUUGAAUUCGGGAGAGGGAUGCAGAAUUCCAGGUGUAGCGGUGAAAUGCGUAGAUAUCUGGAGGAAUACCGGUGGCGAAGGCGGCAUCCUGGACCGACAUUGACGCUGAUGAGCGAAAGCUAGGGGAGCAAACGGGG